UCGAGAAUUUUUCACAAUGGGCGAAAGCCUGAUGGAGCGACGCCGCGUGGGGGAUGAAUGGCUUCGGCCCGUAAACCCCUGUCAUUUGCGAGCAAUGCUGGCGGCUGAAUAAGCUGCCAGUUGAUAGUAGCGAAAGAGGAAGGAACGGCUAACUCUGUGCCAGCAGCCGCGGUAAUACAGAGGUUCCAAGCGUUGUUCGGAUUCACUGGGCGUAAAGGGUGCGUAGGCGGUCGGGUAAGUCUGAUGUGAAAUCUCCGGGCCCAACCCGGAAACUGCAUUGGAUACUAUUCGGCUCGAGGUUUGGAGGGGGGACUGGAAUUCUCGGUGUAGCAGUGAAAUGCGUAGAUAUCGAGAGGAACACCCGUGGCGAAGGCAAGUCCCUGGACAACACCUGACGCUGAGGCACGAAAGCUAGGGGAGCAAACAGG
rnacentral:rRNA from 1 species